rnacentral:rRNA from 1 species
AUGAACGCUGGCGGCGUGCCUAAUACCUGCAAGUCGAGCGAACGGACGAGAAGCUUGCUUCUCUGAUGUUAGCGGCGGACGGGUGAGUAACCCGUGGAUAACCUACCUAUAAGACUGGGAUAACUUCGGGAAACCGUAGCUAAUACCGGAUAAUAUUUUGAACCGCAUGGUUCAAAAGUGAAAGACGGUCUUGCUGUCACUUAUAGAUGGAUCCGCGCUGCAUUAGCUAGUUGGUAAGGUAACGGCUUACCAAGGCAACGAUGCAUAGCCGACCUGAGAGGGUGAUCGGCCACACUGGAACUGAGACACGGUCCAGACUCCUACGAGAGGCAGCAGUAGGGAAUCUUCCGCAAUGGGCGAAAGCCUGACGGAGCAACGCCGCGUGAGUGAUGAAGGUCUUCGGAUCGUAAAACUCUGUUAUUAGGGAAGAACAUAUGUGUAAGUAACUGUGCACAUCUUGACGGUACCUAAUCAGAAAGCCACGGCUAACUACGUG